rnacentral:lncRNA from 1 species
CCAGGCAGCGGAGGGAGAGAGGAGGAGGACCUGGAGUCUCGCCGCGGGAGGGUGCCCAGGGCGAGGGCGUGCGAGGGGGAGUGACUCCGCGCGCGAGGGUGUGUAUGAGUGUGAGUGUGUGUGUGUGUGUGUGUGUGUGGAGAGGGGCGCGCGCGUGAGCGGGGGGUGGGGAGACGAGGCAGAGCCUGGUGCGCUCCCCGGCGAGUGGAGGAAUCCUAGGGUGUGCCUGGAGGUGGCGGAGUGUACCGACGCGGAUGUGAGCGCGUGUGCCGGCGAGGGUGGGCACGGGGUUGAGCGUGGCAAGGUUCUGAGCUUCAUUUCAACAGCCACCACCUCUACCCCACCAAAGCUGGAAGCCAGGAGGCUGGGUAUACUGAAGCAAGUUGCUAUCCUACCCUUUCUGGGGCCCUAUUGACCCAUCUAUGGAAGUGCCUGCAAAGUUCCCGUUCCUUAACAGGUGGCAGAAGCAGAGAGGAGACCCUGGUGACAGUGCAGUGGCACAGUUCACUGUAAGAAGGGCAUUCGGGCUGGGAAUAUGCCCUGAAUCUCCUAAUUUUAGGUAAUUGCGUAGGUAGAGGUCAGUCUUUCCCUCCAAAGGACUCGUCUUCUUGUACAUAAGACUCUUUUCUGCUUUGAAUGGGGCAUUACGAUUUGCUAUUGCUGUGUAACAGAGCACCCCGGAACCUGGCACUGAACAAGAGUAAUUAGCUCUCAGGUGUGGGUCACCUGCAGUCAGCUGGUCUCGGCCAGACGUGGCUGGACAGUUGGGAUACAGCUCUGUACCACAUCUCUCUCAGCCUUCCUCUGGGACCAGUGGAGAUGUCAGAAGCACCUGAAGCUAAGCAGAGCAUACAAUGACACUUAAAACCUAGGCUCAGAACUGUCACGCUGUCACAUGGCCAGUGACAAAGCUAAGGACAGGGAAAGUGACCACUCAUUUAUGGGAAGAACUGCAGAGUCACAGGGCAAGGGGCAUGAAUGGAGAGGGGUGAAGAAAUUGGCCUAAUGACAACAAGUCUGCAGAAUACAGAAAGAGAUCAGAAUUGUGCUUUCUCCCUUGAAGCUCUUGCAGAGGUCUCGCCCUCCACACCACUUCUGCUUGGGAUGGACGAGAUGACAGGAGAUCUUCUGAAGAAGGACCCAGCCAACCCAGAGUAACUUGGCCUCAUGACUUCCUCUCCAUCUUUCCUGUGCUGGUCCAAAUGCGGGCACAGACAGAAUGGAAAGACAAGGAGUUUGCAGUGAGCCAAAUGAGUACUUCAGUUUUAUAGUGGUUAGGUCCUGAUGAAUUGUAGUUUUCAUAUCUGAGAUUUCCCCAGGAAAAUAAAGUGGCCAAAGUUAUACACGACAAGGAGCGAAAAACAAAAACUGCUCCAAUGCAGGUCACAUGACCCACGUUACUGCUGAAUGGGAAGAAAGAACCAGCGGGAUGAGUGAUGCUGUGUCAGGCUUCAACUGCAGAUCAUCACGUGGAGCCAGGAUCUUGUAAAUGACCUGAACAGAGAUUUCACAGAAGCUUGAUUAAAGAACUUGGCCUUGCCAGGACCCUGGACUUUUCAAACCAACAGAGAUCCAAAACACAGACUGUUGGGUUUCCAUCCACACAGAGUGGCUGCAAAUGCAGCUGUGGCGACAGCAACUCAGUUUUCCAAACAUCCAUGCAUGAGACUUUCCUUUCCCAGCCCUGCAGCCUUCCCCAUCCCCCAAUUAAAUAAAUGCCUGUUGUUUUGUUCCCUGCCAU